CAUAGCGACUAUCGUGGCAUAUCAAUAAGCGGAGGAAAAGAAACUAACAAGGAUUCCCCUAGUAACGGCGAGUGAAGCGGGAAGAGCUCAAAUUUGAAAUCUUCAAGGUUUUACCUUGACGAAUUGUAGUUUAAGAGAAGUGUUUUCUGUUAGAGAGUUAGGUAAAAGUUCUUUGGAAUAGGACAUCAUAGAGGGUGAGAAUCCCGUAUUUGACCAUUAUUUCCAACUUUGUGAUACACUUUCAAAGAGUCGGAUUGUUUGGGAAUGCAGUCCAAAAUGGGUGGUAAAUUUCAUCUAAAGCUAAAUACUGGCGAGAGACCGAUAGCGAACAAGUACCGUGAGGGAAAGAUGAAAAGAACUUUGAAAAGAGAGUUAAACAGUACGUGAAAUUGUCAAAAGGGAAGCGUUUGACACCAGUGUUGUUUUCUCGAAAAUCAAUUAAAAAUGGUGGGAUUUUGUGUUGUAUUGACUUUAUCAGCUUUCUGCACUUUUUUCCUAUCUUUUUUAAUGCACUUUUCGUUUAACAAGUCAACAUCAAUUUCUUUUGCUGUAAAAGAGUCAUUGGAAGGUGGCUUUCUUUUCGGAGAAAGUGUUUAUAGCCUUUGACUUCUGCAGUCGGAGAGAUUGAGGUCUGCAGCGUAGAUCCUUCGGGGUUAGAUACAUUUGUGCUAAGCUAUAGCCUUUCAUAGACAACUUGUUGACUAUGAUCAGUCAUGUAACUUACUCGCUUAUGCUAUUUUACCUACGCUUAGGAUGUUGAUAGUCACAGCGUGUAC
rnacentral:rRNA from 1 species